GAUCAUGUUCAUAAUUGCUCAUUGAAAGACUUUUUGGAUGGCUCAGAAAGGCCUUGAGAUGACCCUACCCCAACUAUUAACUAACUGCACCCAUGCUGGAAACCCCGAGUGAGACUGCUCACUGGAGCCCAAGCAGAUUAUGAGAGAAGAAGUUGUCACCUGAAGCCACUAAAUUUUGGAGUGGUUUAAUACAUUGAUAACUAAAUUGCUACCAAAAGAGAAAUUGGGCCAGUCAGGGUGGGGGCGGGGGCGGGGAUCAGAGUUUCUAAAUAUAAUUUUGCAUACGCAUUAUAAUUGUAAUUGCUUAUAACUGGGCAUUCCCCCCGCCCUGAAAGUUUUAUAACAACAAAUUAUUUAUAGUGCAUAAAAUAUCCCCACACCCAACAAAAGUAUCUUAAUUUUAUUUUAUUUUAUUUUAUUUAAAAAAAAUUUUUUUUAUAUAUUUAUUUAUUUUUGAGAGACAGAGUGAGACAAAGUGAGAGUGGGGGAGGGGCAGAGAGAGAGGGAGACACAGGAUCGGAAACAGGCUCCAGGCUUUGAGCCGUCAGCACAGAGCCCGAUGCAGGGCUUGAACCUACAGACCAUGAGAUCAUGACCUGAGCCGAGGUCGGACACCCAACCAACUGAGCCACCCAGGCGCCCCAAAAGUAUCUUAAUUUUAAAAGAAAUGCAUGGUGUCUUUGUUUUUUUAAUGUUUGUUUAUUUUUGAGAGAGAUGGAGCACGAACAGGGGAGGGGCAGAGAGAAUCCGAGAAUGCGACACAGAAUCCGAGCUGUCAGCACAUAGCCUGACGUGGGGCUCGAACCUACAAACUCCCAAGAUCAUGACCUGAGCCGAAGUCAGACGCCCAACCGACUGAGCCACAUGGUGCCCUGAAAUGCAGUGUCCAGUAUACAGUCAGGAAUGUAGUGGAAAUGCACCCCCCGAAGCCCCCUCCCACGUGAAGAGACUUGCUCCUCCAGAAAUGCCCCAGGGAACAUCCACUGAUCUAGGGCUGACUGGAACACAGCACCACACCGUUGGAGACCGUAUGGAAGAAACCGU
rnacentral:lncRNA from 1 species